rnacentral:tRNA from 1 species
GAGGGUAUAGCUCAGUGGUAGAGUGCCUGCCUAGCAUGCAUGAGGUCCUGAGUUCAAUCCCCAGUACCUCCA